GGGAUCGGAAGUUCCAGCAGGGAACGGAAGUCUCUGGCUGGAAAGGGGAAAUAAAUGACUAUAUGUGGGCUGCAGACUGGGUAAACUGGAUCUUUGAAAUCGGAGUGGAAGCUAAUCCCCCUCUUGCCACCGCUCGGCAUUUUGGCCACCCAUGUCUCUGCCCUGCCUCAUCCUGUGCCUGGAAAGACUCCAGACUCAUCUGGCAGAGAGGAGAAGCAGCUGGAUGAGGGGACGACCAUGGCUGGAUGUCAGAGAGAAGCAGCUUGUCUUCAGAGGGACAGCCUGAGGUAUAACUUCGGAGACGAAUCUGGCCGGAGACAGCUGGGCUUCAAGGGAAGACUACAUACCCGCCUGUCCCACCCAUCUGUUUUCAGCUCCCCUUCCCUCUGAAAUCCACUUUGAUCAGCAAUAAAAUCCCAGGCAUUUGUCCUUUAA